CAACAGAAGGUCGGCUCUGAGAGUCAGGUCUUUCCUACUGAUGAGUCAACAGGGUCAACAGAAGGUCGGCUCUGAGGGUCAGGUCUUUCCUACUGAUGAGUCAACAGGGUCAACAGAAGGUCGGCUCUGAGGGUCAGGCCUUUCCUACUGAUGAGUCAACAGGGUCAACAGAAGGUCGGCUCUGAGGGUCAGGUCUUUCCUACUGAUGAGUCAACAGGGUCAACAGAAGGUUGGCUCUGAGGGUCAGGUCUUUCCUACUGAUGAGUCAACAGGGUCAACAGAAGGUCGGCUCUGAGGGUCAGGUCUUUCCUACUGAUGAGUCAACAGGGUCAAUAGAAGGUAGGCUCUGAGGGUCAGGCCUUUCCUACUGAUGAGUCAACAGGGUCAACAGAAGGUAGGCUCUGAGGGUCAGGCCUUUCCUACUGAUGAGUCAACAGGGUCAACAGAAGGUCGGCUCUGAGGGUCAGGUCUUUCCUACUGAUGAGUCAACAGGGUCAACAGAAGGUCGGCUCUGAGGGUCAGGUCUUUCCUACUGAUGAGUCAACAGGGUCAACAGAAGGUCGGCUCUGAGGGUCAGGUCUUUCCUACUGAUGUGUCAACAGGGUCAA